AGCGGCCAGGGUAAUACCGCCCGACUCUGGCAGAAAUUGGUAAAAUUUUCCGACUUUUAACUGGCAACUGCCAAAUUAUUAUUAUCGUUAUUAUUAUUACCAUCCUCAAUUUUAUAUUUGGUGUAUGUCGGGGUUUUAUGGUCAAAGGUAUAAUACUGGAUUUUUCACGUAUUUGAUCGGAGGAAACCGUUUCCUUAAAUAUAUGGAAGGGCGGUUUGGCUGAGUAAAAUAUGGUCAAAGUUUUCGGUAUUGGCCUGGCAUUUAUAAAUAUUUAGUCCAGCUAGGGUGGCCAACCGUAUCAUUUUGACUAGAGGUUUGGUCACGGUGGUUGGGGCUCGGGGUUCCGAAUAAAACUAUUCGGGUUGACUAAAAAUUAUACUAGUGGAGAAAGAAAUUGUUUUUUUUUUUUUUUAUAAACGUCGAUUAUUGUUAUUCGACGUUGUAAAGGCGUGUUUAUGUGGUAAUACGUAAAUAGAUUUGAUUGGCUGACUUUUACCUCCGAAACUAUAUUAUUACAUUACGGAACUUUACAUGUUUUGUUUGAUAAAUAUUGUAAUUUAUCGAAUGAUUUUUUUAUAUUUACAAAUUUUAUUUUUCUUGUUUACCAGAAAUGACGCUAUUGUAAUUAUUUACAAGUUUGGUUUUUUAUCACCACUGUUAUAAAAUUAUUAAUAUAACUGUAUUUCAUGCUUUCGACUUUUCUCGGUAUGAACUUAUCCGAAAUAAUAUUUCUUCGGGUGGAUGUUGGCCACCCUAAUCCCAACUAUUCCCUCCCACCCGUAUUUCUAGCCUACGAUUCGUUUGGGAAAACACUUUACGGAAAAACAUUACCACCCCAUAUAAAAAGGUAUAAUAGAAUUUUUAAUUUUUAACAAUGGAAUAAAAAUAAAUUUACACUUAGGUAUUUUGCCAGCUGACCAGAAAAGGCGGCUGUGCCCAGGAAUCCCCACUGUGUGGGUGGUAAAACACCGUCGGUUAGGAAAAUCGCUUUAUUUGUUAAACGUUAAAGUAUAUACAACGCCUGGGUCAGAAAUAGUAAUAUUAAUCGGUCGGCCACUAAUUAAACUGCAUCGGUUUUUCCAGUGGAAAUGGCUCCACCGGAUGAACUUUGGGUCCGAAUCCUCACCUACAUCUCAAUAAGAUUCCGAUGGUUUCGGCCGACGGAAUGUUUUUGCCGGCGAUGUUUCCACCCCCAGCCAGAAUUCCGUCCUACCGCGCCAAAUUUUCGGAAUCGAAUCGCUUGGAGUACCGGUCUUGGCCGGCCGGAUGGCCGGGUGAUAAAGCCGUGGCUGGCCACUCCGGGAGACCGGGUUCAAAUCCGGGGUCCCACACCUCCAGUUUUUCGGGAGGGAUCCGGGCCCUCCCCUUUAAUCCCAUCCUUCGAUCAUCCGGUUCUUUAAGUGGCUGCCACCAGAUAUAGAACAUCCCCGGCGCCAUAUAACUAAUUUAACCUAAUCCGACCGAUCUUCUUCGGCCUUUCCGAAUUCCCUAAAAUGAUCGUUAGAAAUAUUUGUUGGUAGGUUUCCGCACUUUAU
rnacentral:lncRNA from 1 species